GACGAACGCUGGCGGCGUGCCUAAUACAUGCAAGUAGAACGCAGUUGCGAACGGGUGAGUAACGCGUAGGUAACUGCCUUAUAGCGGGGGUUAAAUAUUGGAAACGAUAGCUAAUACCGCAUAUUGCGAGUUGGACCGGUGUUGUCUUCGCUAGUUGGUGAGGUAAAGGCUCACCAAAGCGACGAUACAUGGCCCGCCUGAGAGGGGUGUUGGCCACACGGGGGCUGGGGCACGGCCCCGGACCCUUCGGGAGGCAACAGUUGGGAAUCUUUGGGAAUGGGCGGAAAGCCGAACAGGCAACGGCGGGUGAGUGAAGAAGGUUUUUGGGUCGUAAAGCUCUGUUGUUAGAGGAGCGGUAACUAACCAGAAAGGGACGGCUAACUACGUGCCAGCAGCCGCGGUAAUUC
rnacentral:rRNA from 1 species